CAGUCACUACAUCCUCGCGACUAAUGACAACCUUCAGUCUGCCUUUGCAGAUAAAGCCUCUCAUUAGCCGCGCGAAUCGCUGUAAUAACGGAUCCUGUUUAAAACACAAUACAUUACUCUGUUUUACUAGACCUUCCUAGAAGAAAGGGGCCGCAAGAGGCCCCUUCCC
rnacentral:sRNA from 1 species